rnacentral:sRNA from 1 species
GAUUCCUGAUGUACCUCCCAUAGGAAACGAUGACUGGCUGGGCUGCUGGGGUCACCACAUGAAGUCUCCUAGUUUCCGAUCCAUUCGAGAGCAUCAGAAGCUAAACCAUUUCCCAGGCUCAUUCCAGAUUGGGAGGAAGGACCGGCUAUGGCGGAACCUGUCACGUAUGCAGAGCCGCUUUGGCAAGAAGGAGUUCAGUUUCUUCCCCCAGUCCUUUAUCCUGCCCCAGGACGCCAAGCUCCUGCGCAAAGCGUGGGAGAGCAGCAGCCGCCAAAAGUGGAUUGUGAAGCCACCAGCAUCAGCUCGAGGCAUUGGCAUCCAGGUUAUUCACAAGUGGAGUCAGCUCCCCAAGCGAAGGCCCCUCCUGGUACAGAGGUGAGCCUGUAGCACAUAUCCCCUACCCCAUCCUCCCACCUCCUUGGCCUCGAGGUUCCCUUCUUACAAUGUUCUGCCCUUUGUUCUCCCAGCCAAAGAGCUUCCUUAGCCAACUGUUUUAAGGUCUUUAUCUUGGGGACUGUUAGCUGGCUUUUGCUGUGGCUUGGUUACCCACUGAGCCCCAUCGUCUGGCUGUAUGAGAAGCUGGCCUU